CACACUGAAACACCAGUUCUUGUAUGAUCACCAAAGUUAAGCAAUGUUGAGCCUGCUCAGUACCUAGAUGGGUGAUUACCUGGGAAUACCAAGUGCUGUAAG
rnacentral:rRNA from 1 species